UGGGGAAUAUUGGACAAUGGGCGCAAGCCUGAUCCAGCAAUGCCGCGUGUGUGAAGAAGGCCUUCGGGUUGUAAAGCACUUUUAUCAGGAGCGAAAUACUACCGGCUAAUACUCGGUGGGGCUGACGGUACCUGAGGAAUAAGCACCGGCUAACUUCGUGCCAGCAGCCGCGGUAAUACGAAGGGUGCAAGCGUUAAUCGGAAUUACUGGGCGUAAAGCGUGCGUAGGCGGUCUUUUAAGUCUGCUGUGAAAUCCCCGGGCUCAACCUGGGAAUGGCAGUGGAUACUGGGAGGCUAGAGUGUGAGAGAGGAUGGUGGAAUUCCCGGUGUAGCGGUGAAAUGCGUAGAGAUCGGGAGGAACAUCAGUGGCGAAGGCGGCCAUCUGGCUCAACACUGACGCUGAGGCACGAAAGCGUGGGGAGCAAACAGG
rnacentral:rRNA from 2 species